rnacentral:SRP_RNA from 1 species
GCUGGGCACGGUGGCACAUGCCUGUUGUCCCAGCUACUCGGGAGGCUGAGGUGAGAGGAUCGCUUGAGCCCAGGAGUUCUGGGCUGUAGUGCGCUAUGCCAAUCGGGUGUCCGCACUAAGUUAGGCAUCAAUAUGGUUACCUCCCGGGAGCGGGGAACCACCAGGUUGCCUAAGGAGGGGUGAACCGGCCCAGGUCGGAAACGGAGCAGGUCAAAACUCCCGUGCUGAUCAGUAGUGGGAUCACGCCUGUGAAUAGCCACUGCUCCAGCCUAGGCAACAUAGCAAGACCCCGUCUCU